AUGACGCUGGCGGCAUGCCUUACACAUGCAAGUCGAACGGCAGCACGGGAGCAAUCCUGGUGGCGAGUGGCGAACGGGUGAGUAAUAUAUCGGAACGUGCCCAGUAGUGGGGGAUAGCCCGGCGAAAGCCGGAUUAAUACCGCAUACGACCUGAGGGUGAAAGCGGGGGAUCGCAAGACCUCGCGCUACUGGAGCGGCCGAUAUCAGAUUAGCUAGUUGGUGGGGUAAAGGCCUACCAAGGCAACGAUCUGUAGUUGGUCUGAGAGGACGACCAGCCACACUGGGACUGAGACACGGCCCAGACUCCUACGGGAGGCAGCAGUGGGGAAUUUUGGACAAUGGGCGCAAGCCUGAUCCAGCAAUGCCGCGUGCAGGAAGAAGGCCUUCGGGUUGUAAACUGCUUUUGUCAGGGAAGAAAUCUUCUGGGCUAAUACCCCGGGAGGAUGACGGUACCUGAAGAAUAAGCACCGGCUAACUACGUGCCAGCAGCCGCGGUAAU
rnacentral:rRNA from 1 species